GUCCUGUAAUUAUCAGUCAAACUUCGCUGCGUUGCAAAAUUGAAACUACAAUGCCUCGUGUUUUUAAUUAAGAUUUGAAACUUUCUACUCUGCAACAAACUCCCUUUAUAUUGCCUUAUCCUCACUGUCACCACAGGUUAUUUUUCUCUUCUUUUCAACUUAUCAAUGGCGGCAAAAGCGCCGGAACCUACUGCCAGUUGUCCCAAUAGCACCCACUCCAUUGAUCCCAACACUGGUUUUUGUAAAGAAACUAGAACCUUUCACAGCCUGAGACCCUACACCCCUCUGCCACCACCAAAUGAGCCUCUUUCCAUUACCCAGUUGGUUUUCUCUCUUCUCAACUCUUCCACCACCAACCCCACCGCCGAUACUUUUCUUGUCAAUGCCAACACAAGCCAUUCUAUCACCUACGCUCAAUUCCUGAGCCAGACCCACUCUCUUUCCCUCGCUCUCAAUGCUCAUUAUUCUCUGUCUACCAACGACGUCGCUUUUAUCCUCUGU
rnacentral:misc_RNA from 1 species